CUGCUGCUGCUGCGAAUGGGAUAUUUGCAAUGGCAUAUUUGGGCUUCUCGCUUCCACAAUUAUCCGGCUGUCACCAAUUACCGAACGGCCCGAAAAAGUCGCCCGCUGAUGAUUGUGCAGCUGGGAAAUCCUCUGGAAAUUAUUGCAUUCAUUAAAUUUUAAACAAAGAUACAUAUAUCUCAACUCUAUUUGGUUACAAUUAUUAUCAAGCAGAAAUUGCUGCAGCGCACCUUUGUCAGUUUUGUUUUUCAAUUAUUGUUUAAUUAUUCAAUG